GAUGAACGCUGGCGGCGUGCCUAAUACAUGCAAGUCGAGCGAACAGAUGAGGAGCUUGCUCCUCUGACGUUAUCGGCGGACGGGUGAGUAACACGUGGAUAACCUACCUAUAAGACUGGGAUAACUUCGGGAAACCGGAGCUAAUACCGGAUAAUAUAUUGAACCGCAUGGUUCAAUAGUGAAAGACGGUUUUGCUGUCACUUAUAGAUGGAUCCGCGCCGCAUUAGCUAGUUGGUAAGGUAACGGCUUACCAAGGCAACGAUGCGUAGCCGACCUGAGAGGGUGAUCGCCCACACGGGAACAGAGACACGGUCCAGACUCCUAGGGGAGGCAGCAGUAGGGAAUCUUCCGCAAUGGGGGAAAGCCUGACGGAGCAACGCCGCGUGAGUGAUGAAGGUCUUCGGAUCGUAAAACUCUGUUAUUAGGGAAGAACAAAUGUGUAAGUAACUAUGCACGUCUUGACGGUACCUAAUCAGAAAGCCACGGCUAACUCCGUG
rnacentral:rRNA from 1 species